rnacentral:lncRNA from 1 species
CUACCAUUGUUCUCAAAAGUAUUUUAUUUUUUGUCUCCUGAUUAUCAGUAACCCGAAUUUCUCUUUUAGCUUUGACCAAGGACUCAGAUUUUUGGUUAAACAAAUUGGUUCCGUUACCGGGACUCUGAUAAUCUUUCCUUUUAAGCUAUAUCUUAUCUAUUAUCAUUACCAUGUCAAACAAUAACGCCGACAACAACAGUAACAACACAUUGGGAAACCAUGAGAAUCAAAUACAUCAAAAUCAAGAUGUCAUGGUUCCCUCUCCUUUAAAUUUACCACGUCAAUCUCGUGAAGGCACUCCUGUUACUGAAUCCUGUGCUGAUCAACAAGAGCAAUCUGAACAUUUUGAAGGAGUUACAACUGAAGCUUUGCAAAAGCUAAUCGAUGCACAAGUCGGCAAAGCUUUUCAGGCACUUGUUAGUCGAUUGCCUGCUGCGCCACCUACACCGACUCCUAAUAAUAAUACAUUGGAGAACUCCCGUUCUGGUCUUGAUAAUUCUGGAAAUGGAGCAACCCCCAGUGAACCACAAGAAGGGGGACCAGGUAAUUUAAAUAAUUCAUAUUUGCAAAAUUUAGUACUAACCUUGCAGAAACAGCUGAAGGAACAAAAUGAGCAAAUAGAACAAAUCCCUGGAGUUCCACCUGUAAUAAAAGGAGUAGACAUGGACAAAUACUCACAACAGCCAUGGAAGCCUAGUGCUGCUCCCCUUCCAAUUCCGAAAAAAUUCAAAAUGUUUGACAUCCCGAAAUAUGAUGGUACUACAGACCCACGUGACUGCAUUUACAACUGGCGUGAAAGGCAACGACUUGACCAAACAAGAAAUUGAAUCAGUGUUGGUCAAGAAAUUUGGAGAAACACUCACCAAGGGUGCAUUAACCUGGUAUUCUCUUUUAUCUGAAAAUUCUAUUAAUUCGUUUGUUGAGCUUGCAGAUUCUUUUAUUAAAGCA